rnacentral:rRNA from 1 species
AGUGAACGCUGGCGGUAGGCCUAACACAUGCAAGUCGAACGGCAGCACAGUAAGAGCUUGCUCUUACGGGUGGCGAGUGGCGGACGGGUGAGGAAUACAUCGGCAUCUACUUUUUCGUGGGGGAUAACGUAGGGAAACUUACGCUAAUACCGCAUACGACCUACGGGUGAAAUCAGGAGAUCUUCGGACCUUGCGCGAUUGAAUGAGACGAUGUCGGAUUAGCUAGUUGGCGGGGUAAAGGCCCACCAAGGCGACGAUCCGUAGCUGGUCUGAGAGGAUGAUCAGCCACACUGGAACUGAGACACGGUCCAGACUCCUACGGGAGGCAGCAGUGGGGAAUAUUGGACAAUGGGCGAAAGCCUGAUCCAGCAAUACCGCGUGGGUGAAGAAGGCCUUCGGGUUGUAAAGCCCUUUUGUUGGGAAAGAAAAGCAGCAGGUUAAUACCCCGCUGUUCUGACGGUACCCAAAGAAUAAGCACCGGCUAACUUCGUG